AUGGGCACAGCACACACGGCCCCCAGCAUCACCUAUGCAGCCCCUUCCUUUGGGGAGGAGUAUAAUUUGAUUUGGCCCUGGGAGCCUAACACAAUGCAUUCUGAAGAGUGGUCUGAACCAGCCUCAAAGCAGACGCCCGGUGAGGUUUCACCCAGCAGAAUAAUGGAAAAAGGAGUGUGUGAAUGGAGAGACCCAGAAGAGCAGAUGGGCAAUGCGAGCUGCCCAGCUUCCCAAGCAGAUUCCAGACGCUUCUGGGAUUCCUCGCACCAGCAGAAGCAGCCUUGCUGGGUGCAUGACUGGGGAAGCACGGAGCAGCACUUUGCGUCUGACCGGCUGGUGCCAGCAGCUGCCAGACUCUCCGCAACGCUCAUGAAUUGUUUUGCUCCUUCCCCUUCUUUCAAACCACUAUUACCAGCCCUGUUCUUAAUCAUCUCAGGUCAAACCGAGCUGCAGCCUGUGGUUUGGCUGCCUGUUUGUUUAACUCUGUGUGGCUGGGAAGGGGUCACUGUCGCUCGCAGGCUUGGGCAGAGCUCCUCAGCCCUGCAGGCUCUGGUCUGACAGCCAGCCAGCUCACUGCUGCCUUCGCUGCUGCUGAGGAGCCACGGCAGCUCCUGCAGCCCUGCGACGGGCCCGUGCACCCAGCACCUCCCCUGCCUGGGCGCGUGGCUUCUGGCAGCGUAACGAUGCCAAGAUGCCACUGGUGCACGCAGUGCCACCCAGCUCAAGGGAAGAUCCUGCGUAAACCACAAAGUUGCAUAUUAUCAGAGCUGGUCGCAUCUUACCAGAGCUGGAUGCAUGUUAUUUCAGAGUUCGAUGUCUCGGUGGAAGCGGCCAGCUGGCUCUUCCACCCAAAGGCACAGAAAACCCCCCUGAAGAGCAAUUGAGGGGUUCUACAGCUUUGACUCCAGACUCACCACUGUUUGCCCUGAGCCUCAGGAACAAGUAACUUUUAAGGAAGAAAAAGCAAAAUCCUCACCAGUUCCUACACCAUUCUGCACAUUUAAGAGACCUGCCAUGUAGCAGCAGCCCCAAAGGAGGUGAUUUGUACCCAACAGGUCCCAUCACCUACAGCAGCUUCCAAGGACACAUCUGUGAGCACUACCCUCACCUCUGCCAGUGCCCAACCCUUCUCCAGCCCCAAGGGUGCACCCAGCACGAGGGUCCCUCCCCAAACCUCAUCUGGAGAGCUGGGACACACAGCCGUGCUCUCAGAUGCUUCUUCCCAGAAAGAGGGAACAAGGAAGCCACAGCCCCCUCCUGCUUACGCUGCUUUUAUCACCUGCAACUGGGUCCUUUCAGCUGGUCCCCACUGUACGUGGGUAACCCCUUACACACCAGCUCAGGCCCAGGCCAGCCCUGCCCCACAGGGGCAGCAGGGGCCCGGUGCAGCAGGGCGGCGGCACGGCGCCGAGCUGCAGCCCACGCAGAGCCCCGGUCCCCGUGCCCGCAGCAGAAGGCGAGGCGGCUCCGGGGCACGUGCGGGCAGAGGCAAACCCGCUGCUAACGGGAGCAACGGGGCAGCACCGCGCUGAGGUCUGGGAGCCAGGCAGGGCUCCGC
rnacentral:lncRNA from 1 species